AUAUUCUUAGAUGAAUAAUGUGAAAUUUACAUUAGCGAAGAACUCAUUGAAUUAUAAAUCAAAUAUACUUGUAUAUAUUAUAUAUUUAUAUAAAUAUAAAAAUGGUAUUACGGUUCUGGCUGUUGUUUUGAAUAAUCAAAAGCAAAAGAACGCAUUUUGAUUUGAUACAACUUCUAAGUAUAUAUAUUGCGUAAUCUUGCGAGUUUAACCUUUUUAGUAACCAUCUUUAGUUUUCUGGGAUUAAAUCAGUUGAUAAACUUGAUCUAAUGACGCCCAAACGAUCAAAAUAACGCGCAAGCAUAAACUUGACCGAGGUAACUGAUAUUCUUUUACGUGCCACAUAGAAAUUUAUAAAAUGAGAAGACUCCAUGUGUGAUAAAAAAAGAGGCAGCAACAAAAAACGCACAUAUUUAUUUUAUACUUGAUGUACUAAAAACGAACACGAUAAUUGCCUUUUGCGUGUUCCCUCACACCCAAGUCUACAAUUUCCCAGCCAAACUGAGCACAAAGCCAUAUUAAAAGCGCAUAGACAAGCAUACAGCUGAUGUAACUACUUUGCUACUACUUUUUUCGAAGCGCCUACCAAUAUUAAUAAACGCAAUUAUUGCAGGCUAGUGCAGCACGUAACUUGCGCACAUACUCACUUGCUUACGUAAAUGUGUAACCUUUUUACGUUUUUUUUUUUUAUCGUUUGGUGACAGUGCUGGUGCUGCUGACAAUAGCCGUGGCUAGUUUAAUGGGCCAUUUAUGCCUUUUUUGUGCAUCAAUUUCUUUUAUGUUUUCUCUCCUCCCCACACAAAGUAUUAUUUUUAUAGAUUUUUCCCCUUUUU